CGUCGGCGAUGGUCCUAGCACGCGGAAUUCGUGGAAAGUCAAACAUCUUCGCCAUAUGAGAAGAAACAACCCCUCUUGUCCAGCUCACUUUCCGGUCCGUGUAGUUGAGGAGGAAGAACUCUUUCGUGUGUCUGUGUCAAGGUGCUGCCGAUCGUUACAGUUGUCGGUUGCUUUCCCAAGUUUUUCACAUACCCCAGUGCAGUGAUCGUGUAUUUGUAGGCAGCGAGUUCUGCUAUGGCCAAGCUUCAGUCAACCCGUUCCUCUCGUCAUUUUAUCGCCGCCAUUGCUACCACAGCGGCUGCGUUGCUUUUCUGCCUUCCAGAGUUUUGCAUGGCAGACGUCUUGUGCCAAGUCGGCUGCUAUCCCCCACUAGAUCGAGGAUGCAAUGGCACCACCACGGAGUCAUGCCCUGGAGACGUUUGCUUCUACUCGUACUCCUCUACCACCACGAAAGAGGGCACCUUAAUAUUGACCUAUCAGUGUGGAAAUAUUGUAUGUCCCCAACUCGGAAUUGGAUGUACGGAGGUACUGAGUGCACGUGCCUGCUGUUGUGAAGGCAACCAGUGCAACGGUAAAGCCAUCACCUCUUCAGCAAGCACAGCAACAGCCACAGGCCUUGUCCCAAUACUGGCCAUCCUCACUGCCGCUGUUUACUUUCUUUUGCCUUGAUGACGGUAUUUACUCCCUCACUUUCCACUCUCUUUGCUUGCAAGCUAGCUGGCUUGUUUGAUUGUUUAAUGUAGGAAAUAUGUUAUGAUCCGUUCAUGCCCAAUGAGUGAUUCCUAACUACUAGUAUGUGCGCUUAUCAUCUGCUGCAGUUCACCUAGAGUAGUGCAGGGUAUGCAUGUUGCGUGGGAUGAGGUUCUCCACUGUCAGUGUUUCUCUGUUUGUGUCUAUUCUGCCGUAUUCCUUUCCUUUGGUGGAGUUAUUCUGCUGCGUGCGUGACGUUGGUGCAUUGCGUUCAUGCUUGUCGAUUGUCACUAUCGGCGUGUUGCAUAUUGCCAAUUUUGUAUUGAGUUUUUAGUUUCCCGCGGCUAGUGUUGUUUUGGACGUUGUCAGCACCGUUCAAUAUUCUGUAUGGCCCACUUUCAUGGCUUGAUUUGAUAAACAUAAAAAACGUGUGUGUUAUUUCUAUGA